rnacentral:rRNA from 1 species
CCUACGGGUGGCAGCAGUGAGGAAUAUUGGUCAAUGGACGAGAGUCUGAACCAGCCAAGUAGCGUGAAGGAUGACUGCCCUAUGGGUUGUAAACUUCUUUUAUAUGGGAAUAAAAUGUUCCACGUGUGGGAUUUUGUAUGUACCAUAUGAAUAAGCAUCGGCUAACUCCGUGCCAGCAGCCGCGGUAAUACGGAGGAUCCGAGCGUUAUCCGGAUUUAUUGGGUUUAAAGGGAGCGUAGGUGGAUUGUUAAGUCAGUUGUGAAAGUUCGCGGCUCAACCGUAAAAUUGCAGUUGAAACUGGCAGUGUUGAGUGCAGUAGAGGUAGGCGGAAUUCGUGGUGUAGCGGUGAAAUGCUUAGAUAUCAGGAAGAACUCCGAUUGCGAAGGCAGAUCACUGGACUGCAACUGACACUGAGGCUCGAAAGUGUGGGUAUCAAACAGGAUUAGAUACCCUUGUAGUC